GAGUUUGAUCCUGGCUCAGAAUCAACGCUGGCGGCGCGCCUAACACAUGCAAGUCGAACGAGAAAGCAGGAGCAAUCUUGUGAGUAAAGUGGCGUACGGGUGAGUAACACGUGGAUUAUCUACCCUCUUGUGGGGGAUAACCCUGGGAAACCGGGGCUAAUACCGCAUAAGCUCGAGAGAGGAAAGCAGCAAUGCGCAGGAGGAGGAGUCCGCGGCCGAUUAGCUAGUUGGUAGGGUAAAAGCCUACCAAGGCAACGAUCGGUAGCCGGCCUGAGAGGGCACACGGCCACACUGGCACUGAAACACGGGCCAGACUCCUACGGGAGGCAGCAGUGGGGAAUCUUGCACAAUGGGGGCAACCCUGAUGCAGCGACGCCGCGUGAGCGAUGAAGCCCUUCGGGGUGUAAAGCUCUUUCGGCAGGGAAGAUUAUGACGGUACCUGCAGAAGCAGCUGCGGCUAACUACGUGCCAGCAGCCGCGGUAAUACGUAGGCAGCAAGCGUUGUUCGGAGUUACUGGGCGUAAAGGGUGUGUAGGCGGUUCUCUAAGUCUGGUGUGAAAUCUCCCGGCUCAACUGGGAGGGUGCGCCGAAAACUGGAGGGCUAGAGUGCGGGAUGGGAGAGUGGAAUUCCUGGUGUAGCGGUGAAAUGCGUAGAUAUCAGGAGGAACACCUGUGGUGUAGACGGCUCUCUGGACCGCAACUGACGCUGAAACACGAAAGCGUGGGUAGCAAACAGGAUUAGAUACCCUGGU
rnacentral:rRNA from 1 species